GCGCCCGGCCUCUCCGCGCCCUCGCCCCGCGCCCCUGGCUCACUCGCUCCCGCGGCGCCCGCUGCGGCUUCUCCUCCUCCUCUUUCGCCUCCUCCACUCCCUCCGGUUUCUUCGCCUCCUCCUCCUCUUCUUCCUCCUCCUCUUUCCCCACCUCCUCCCCCUCAGCCACCGCCUCCUCCACCACCACCACCACUCCCUCCGGGGCACCCUGGUCCCUGCAGAGUCCCCGGCAGGCGCCGCCUCCGCUUCGGCCCCCUCGAUCCCGAGCCUGCUGCGCCCGAGCUCUUAGGACAGACGGACAGGCAGACACACAGAUUCCGCGCGCCUAACGCGCCGCCGCUGCUGUCCCCCGCGGCCCCGCGUCGGGGGAACUGGCGUCGCCCGGGGAGCACCGUGAGGGGGCUGCAUGGGGAGGCAUCUGAACAUGCCAAGCCUUCCAGAUCAAGAGUAGCUCAUGGUGCCAGCCAUGUGGAAGUGGAUCUCCCCCAGAUGGGCUUGGACACAUCUGGCCCAUCUGCAGCAUUUUCCCAAACCAGCUAAGAUUCAAAGGGAAGAAUUUGAGGUAGGAGAAAUCCUUUGGUCAAACAGUUCCAUAUCCAAAGAGAUAACCAAGAAUGAAGACAGGAAAUUGCUCCAGAGUCUCUGACCUUGAGAGGAUGUACCCAGAUCCCCGCCACCAGCAAGAGACCACCAGGUACUGGUGUUCUCAGCCUUCAGAUGCCAGGGUUCCCUCACCUGGCUUAUUCUGAACUUCACCUGUUCACUUCUCUGCAAGAAACAUGCCUCUCCACCCCAUGAAAAAGCUUUUUUCCCCUCAUUAUUAUAAAAUUAUAUGUAUACUUUUCUAUUAUACCAGAAUGUGUAAAGAAGUCAGUAAUAAUCAUCCAAAUUCCCCCUACCCAGAGGUCACUGCUGUCAAAUAUCUGGGGAUGUUAACUUUUGACAUGUUGCAAAAGAAAAGAAAUUAGAUUAUGUGUACGCAUUUUUGUUAUUG